rnacentral:lncRNA from 1 species
CUAAAAGGCAUUCCACCCCAAGAAAGGAGCUGAAUGUUUAGUUAACAACAGAAGACACAGUGGAUGGGAGUGGUAGAAGAAUGCUGCUGUCUCCAUCAAUAAAGUCCAUGUUAGCCACCUAGAGGAUAAAAUACCACGAGGAGGAGUAGCAAGGUGCCCCUGUUGACAGAUCUUGAAGCACAAGCUCACUCCCAGAAGCACAGCUGCCUAGUCAACAAACAGCUGACAAUACAUGUCUGAAGGAGCUCAGCUGGGAACAGAAGAAUGGCCCCACUGAGCCUAGCCUAAAUGGCGGACCAUCUCAAUUAUGAGCUAAUAAGUUUUGGAUGAUUUGUUAUGCUGCCAUACCUAACUAAUACAUGCACCCAGUG